GGCGUGCGGGGUGCUUACCAUGCAGUCGACGGAAAGGCCCUUCGGGGUACUCGAGUGGCGAACGGGUGAGUAACACGUGGGUGAUCUGCCCUGCACUUCGGGAUAAGCCUGGGAAACUGGGUCUAAUACCGGAUAUACCUCAUGGGAUGCAUGUUUUGUGGGGGAAAGCUUUUGCGGUGUGGGAUGGGCCCGCGGCCUAUCAGCUUGUUGGUGAGGUUACGGCUCACCAAGGCGUCGACGGGUAGCCGGCCUGAGAGGGUGUCCGGCCACACUGGGACUGAGAUACGGCCCAGACUCCUACGGGAGGCAGCAGUGGGGAAUAUUGCACAAUGGGCGCAAGCCUGAUGCAGCGACGCCGCGUGGGGGAUGACGGCCUUCGGGUUGUAAACCUCUUUCAGUGCCGACGAAGCGCAAGUGACGGUAGGCACAGAAGAAGCACCGGCCAACUACGUGCCAGCAGCCGCGGUAAUACGUAGGGUGCGAGCGUUGUCCGGAAUUACUGGGCGUAAAGAGCUUGUAGGUGGUUUGUCGCGUUGUUCGUGAAAUCUCACGGCUUAACUGUGAGCGUGCGGGCGAUACGGGCAGACUUGAGUACUGCAGGGGAGACUGGAAUUCCUGGUGUAGCGGUGGAAUGCGCAGAUAUCAGGAGGAACACCGGUGGCGAAGGCGGGUCUCUGGGCAGUAACUGACGCUGAGAAGCGAAAGCGUGGGGAGCGAACAGGAUUAGAUACCCUGGUAGUCCACGCCGUAAACGGUGGGUACUAGGUGUGGGUUUCCUUCCUUGGGAUCCGUGCCGUAGCUAACGCAUUAAGUACCCCGCCUGGGGAGUACGGCCGCAAGGCUAAAACUCAAAGAAAUUGACGGGGGCCCGCACAAGCGGCGGAGCAUGUGGAUUAAUUCGAUGCAACGCGAAGAACCUUACCUGGGCUUGACAUGCACUAGAACACCUAGAGAUAGGUGCCCCCUUGUGGUUGGUGUGCAGUGGUGCAUGGCUGUCGUCAGCUCGUGUCGUGAG
rnacentral:rRNA from 1 species